CCUACGGGUGGCUGCAGUGGGGAAUAUUGGACAAUGGGCGAAAGCCUGAUCCAGCCAUGCCGCGUGUGUGAAGAAGGCCUUCGGGUUGUAAAGCACUUUCAGUGGGGAAGAAAGCCUUGGGGCUAAUACCCUCGAGGAAGGACAUCACCCACAGAAGAAGCACCGGCUAACUCCGUGCCAGCAGCCGCGGUAAUACGGAGGGUGCGAGCGUUAAUCGGAAUUACUGGGCGUAAAGCGCGCGUAGGCGGUCUGAUAAGCCGGUUGUGAAAGCCCCGGGCUCAACCUGGGAACGGCAUCCGGAACUGUCAGGCUAGAGUGCAGGAGAGGAAGGUAGAAUUCCCGGUGUAGCGGUGAAAUGCGUAGAGAUCGGGAGGAAUACCAGUGGCGAAUGCGGUCUUCUGGACUGACACUGACGCUGAGGUGCGAAAGCGUGGGUAGCAAACAGGAUUAGAUACCCGAGUAGUC
rnacentral:rRNA from 1 species